rnacentral:rRNA from 1 species
GAUGAACGCUAGCUACAGGCUUAACACAUGCAAGUCGAGGGGCAGCAUGGUCUUAGCUUGCUAAGGCCGAUGGCGACCGGCGCACGGGUGAGUAACACGUAUCCAACCUGCCGUCUACUCUUGGACAGCCUUCUGAAAGGAAGAUUAAUACAAGAUGGCAUCAUGAGUUCACAUGUUCACAUGAUUAAAGGUAUUCCGGUAGACGAUGGGGAUGCGUUCCAUUAGAUAGUAGGCGGGGUAACGGCCCACCUAGUCUUCAAUGGAUAGGGGUUCUGAGAGGAAGGUCCCCCACAUUGGAACUGAGACACGGUCCAAACUCCUACGGGAGGCAGCAGUGAGGAAUAUUGGUCAAUGGGCGAGAGCCUGAACCAGCCAAGUAGCGUGAAGGAUGACUGCCCUAUGGGUUGUAAACUUCUUUUAUAAAGGAAUAAAGUCGGGUAUGUAUACCCGUUUGCAUGUACUUUAUGAAUAAGGAUCGGCUAACUCCGUG